UCCGGGAUGGUGGUGGUAGCACAUGUGUUUCUGGAGCAUAUAGCCUGGGUUCGAAUCCCAGUCCCGGAGCCA
rnacentral:tRNA from 1 species